ACGACCUUACUUGAACAGGAUCUGUUCUAUAGGCUCGUACCACUGAAUCCUUGAUUUCUAAGGAGACAGGAAACCAAGUCUGGUGGAUGAAUCAUGGCCAUGAGACUCGAGCGUGAUUGACAGCCUCCAUGGCCUUUCGGGGUCAUGGUGCAGUAGAUGAUCGUUCUCAACCUGGUUUACCGGCUUGAGAUGGUCUCAUGGCUGUCUGACAGACU
rfam:Solanum tuberosum cultivar DM 1-3 516 R44 scf00072_70, whole genome shotgun sequence.